AUACGGAGGAUGCAAGCGUUAUCCGGAUUUAUUGGGUUUAAAGGGUGCGUAGGCGGGACUGUAAGUCAGGGGUGAAAUACUGCAGCUUAACUGUAGCAUUGCCUUUGAAACUGCCGUUCUUGAGUACAGUUGAGGUAGGCGGAAUGUGGUGUGUAGCGGUGAAAUGCAUAGAUAUACCACAGAACGCCGAUUGCGAAGGCAGCUUACUAAGCUGUUACUGACGCUGAGGCACGAAAGCGUGGGGAUCAAACAGGAUUAGAUACCCUGGUAGUCCACGCUGUAAACGAUGAUUACUGGUUGUUAGCGAUAUAUAGCUAGUGACUGAGCGAAAGCAUUAAGUAAUCCACCUGGGGAGUACGUCGGCAACGAUGAAACUCAAAGGAAUUGACGGGG
rnacentral:rRNA from 1 species